CAGAUCUGACUUUUCUUCUGUUCCCCUCCUGGCGAUCAGUGAGAGCUGCCAGAGAGGGCUGGGAACAGGACAUGUGGUGCCUCGCUGGAGGAGCUGGGAGCAUGCAGCAGGUGGAGAUACCUGAUGUAUUACUUCAGCAGCAAAUUCAACAAGGCCAAGAUGUCUUCAUUUUCCUCCAGAGCAAGAGCUGUAUGAGCAGUGUGAUGGAAGUAUUGGUCUUCUGUGGCCAGCCGGCGAGAACCCAUCAACAGCUGUGAUGAGCAGAGCAGACACGGAGAGACAGGAGGCAGCUGAAGCCAAAGAGGACCCACGCCUGAAGCUGUGUGUGUGUGAUUGGAGCAGAGAGAGGCCAGGACCCAAGGAAAUCCCAGCAGCAAGGGAAAAAAACAGAUUGACUCUCAGUGACUCAUUUAGCUCCUGGAUUGGACAGAUCUCUCCCCUGCUGGCAAUUUGGCUGAGCAUCAAUGGACAGAUACCAGGAUGAAUAGCUUAAAAUAAUUAGGGGUUGGGAAUAUGCAAAACUGCUAGCCAUCCAAUUCUUUACUCUGCAAUGUGAGGCACAAAAAAGAAAUUACAUUUAGGUUAUUAAAUAUUAAGUCAGUGGAUUUGCCUCCAUUUGGUCCAGAACAGGAAACUGGAUAAAAUUCAACAUUUAUUUCAUUGUGUUGAUGGCCUGUUUAUCACUGAGCGGAAAAGAAGAGAACAGAGGAAUUUGACAAAUGAUGGCAAUUGAGACUUCAUGAUUUAAGAACAGCAUCUCAAGCAGUUGCUCUGAAGUGGUUCUCCAUGUGAAAUGAGGAUGCCGCAUGCUUAUCAGUGGUGAUACAGGUAUAUGGCUACAGAUGCCUUGCCCCUCAAAAGCUUCGUGUUUGCCAGAGUCAGGGAUGAAGAACACCAGGUAUUUCCAGGGAUACUGGAGUGGCACAUGUUCCAGAAAGUUUGAAGUAAAGUGUCUGCUUUCACUGCUCAGGUUCAAGCCCAUUAAAGGAUUUGAGGAAAUCCAUUCAGUACUUUGCACAGAGAACAAAUGUGAACCAUUCCAAUGAGUUGCAGGCUCUGGAGCAGAUCAGUAUGAGGAAUGGUUGCAGGAGCAAAGCAAACUCCAGGAGAGGGACCUGCAUGUGCCAUGCAGCAGAAGCUCCCACAGACACCAGUUUCCCCAGCAUGGGCCAGACUGUUGGCUUAACUCUGCUGAUCUCCCCUCCCUAGUACUCUCCUCCAGCCCUCAACAGCACUUCAGUGGUGUCAACAGCCUUCAGUAGCCUCCAAAAGACCUGCAGCAAAAGAGAGAACAGUGAGGAAGAAGAGCCUGCAGAGGUAACUAAGAGUUAACUGGCUACAUUUCAGCUGUCACCAUUGUCUUACAUCUACAGAGAGAGUGGGGAGAGCCAAGGAGAUGUAUUUACGUGUCAGAUGCGGCAUCGUGCACUGAAAAGCUUGAUGUGUGAGCUCCUCCAGCCCAGGAUCCGUGGGACCGCUUGUAGUGUAAGGCAUUAACUGCCCCAGUGACAGCAGGACCCAGGGGCAGGAGAGGAGCUGCCUGGGGGCUGGUGAAGAUUUAGACUUGUGUUGCCAGGAAGGUGACUGCAAAGGGACAUCUUCCACCUGGGGAACGAUCAGGUCAGGCUGACACUAUGGCCUUACAGCACUGACGAUUUUUCUACCUGUGUCUACCAUUCACGUGACACUGAUGUUUGAAUACUACCUUCUCAGUGCUGGUCUGAGGUUGUACACAAUUACUGUCUGCCAAAGGUCCCACUUGUGCAUGAGGUGGGUGCUCGUUCUCCUGUGACCCGCAGAUCGGUGUUUGCCACACUCCCCUACUGCUGGUGAGCAACCACGGUGCUCCAGUGGACAACCAUGUGUUCUCACUGAGCCCUCUUGGAUUGUGCAGUAAUUAAAAAGUAAUGAAUCCUAUUUAAAUGUAGGGCAUUCUGUCCUAACCCUCUGAGCUCCUGUGGGUGUGAGCAUCUUGCUCUCCAGGGCUGCUCCCCACUCUGUGUACACGCACCGGCUUCAUCAAAAGGACGUGGGAAAUGCCAGCACCAGAUAUUACAAAUUUCUUUUUUUUUUUUUUUUUUAAUAUGUCACUGAUUGGUCCAGGGAUGGCAAAAAUUAAUAGUAAUGAACUAAUUACCGUGCCAGCUGCCUACAAAGAGGGGUCCUGUAGGCAGGCUCCUUCUGCCCAUUUGCCUGCUGGUAAAACCACCACUCUAGAAAACAUAAAACACCACUUUUUUUUUUUUUUUUCCUUUGUAAACAUCUAUCAGCAUCACCUUUCCAUGGCCCACAGCACCGGCUCUGCCUAGCUUUUAAGUCCUCAGAAUGCAGCCAGAAUCUCCCCCAGCAGUUUGUAACACGUUUUACAGCUCGAGCGGGGCAAAACAGCCGUCUGCCGACCUGCUGGCUGCCCGGUCCACAGCCCCGGCGGGAGGACGAGGCCGG
ensembl:lncRNA